GUGGUUGUGGCUCAGCAGUAGAGCGCUUGCCUAAUGAGUGAGAGGUGCUGGGUUCGAUCCUCAGAACCACA
rnacentral:tRNA from 1 species